rnacentral:rRNA from 1 species
UACGUAGGUGGCAAGCGUUUGUCCGGAUUUACUGGGCGUAAAGGGCGUGCAGGCGGUCUGUUAAGUCUAGGGUGAAAGCUCCCGGCUCAACUGGGAGAGGUCCUUGGAUACUGGCGGACUUGAGGGAGGCAGAGGAGAGUGGAAUUCCCGGUGUAGUGGUGAUAUGCGUAGAUAUCGGGAGGAACACCAGUGGCGAAGGCGGCU